rnacentral:rRNA from 1 species
AGUCGAGGGGCAUCACGAGGUAGCAAUACUUUGGUGGCGACCGGCGCACGGGUGCGUAACGCGUAUGUAACCUACCUAUAACAGGGGCAUAACACUGAGAAAUUGGUACUAAUUCCCCAUAAUAUUCGGAGAGGCAUCUCUCCGGGUUGAAAACUCCGGUGGUUAUAGAUGGACAUGCGUUGUAUUAGCUAGUUGGUGAGGUAACGGCUCACCAAGGCAACGAUACAUAGGGGGACUGAGAGGUUAACCCCCCACACUGGUACUGAGACACGGACCAGACUCCUACGGGAGGCAGCAGUGAGGAAUAUUGGUCAAUGGACGCAAGUCUGAACCAGCCAUGCCGCGUGCAGGAAGACGGCUCUAUGAGUUGUAAACUGCUUUUGUACGAGGGUAAACUCACCUACGUGUAGGUGACUGAAAGUAUCGUACGAAUAAGGAUCGGCUAACUCCGUGCCAGCAGCCGCGGUAAUACGGAGGAUUCAAGCGUUAUCCGGAUUUAUUGGGUUUAAAGGGUGCGUAGGCGGUUUGAUAAGUUAGAGGUGAAAUCCCGGGGCUUAACUCCGGAACUGCCUCUAAUACUGUUAGACUAGAGAGUAGUUGCGGUAGGCGGAAUGUAUGGUGUAGCGGUG